rnacentral:lncRNA from 10 species
UGGCCAGGCUGUGUGGUGGAGUGCAGUGGCACAAUCAUGGCUCACUGCAACCUCUAACUCCUGGGCUCAAGCAAUCCUCCCACCUCAGCCUCCCAAGUAGCUGGGACUAGAGGUGUGUGCCACCAAACCCAGCUAAAUUUUGUAUUUUUGUAGAGACAGGGUUUCACCAUGUUGCCCAGACUCGUCUCAGACUCCUGGGUUCAAGGGGUCCACUCACCCUCAGUCACCCAAAGUGCCGGGAUUAUAGGUGUGAGCCAUCGCGCCUGGCCUGCUUCAGUAUUGUUGGGUUUUAAAUAUUUCUGUUUCCAUCAGUGAUUGCCAGGGGUUGAAGGGGGGUGGAGGGGGGUGAGUACCAAGGGCCAGGGGGUCACUUGUGGGCAGUGGUGAUUCCGUAUCUUGAUUCACCUGAGGUCAGGAGUUCGAGACCAGCCUGGCCAACAUGGCGAAACCCCAUCUCUACUAAAAAUACAAAAAUUAGCCAGGCGUGGUGGCACGCACCUGAAGUCCCAGCUACUCAGGAGGCUAAGGCAGGAGAAUGGCUUGAACCUGGGAGGUGGAGGUUGUAGUGAGCCAAGAUCGCCCUACUGCACUCCAGCCUGGGCAACAGAGUGAGACUCUGUCUCAAAAAAAAAAAAAACAAAAAAAGAAAGAAAAAGAAAAACCGGAUGUAAAACAGUUUAUUCUUUAAGUGCAGGGGUGUGUAACGCAAUCCUUGCUUGGCAUGACCUUAGAUCCUGUUUAUAAUUUGGUAUCUUAUUGCCACAAACAGUCCAUUCUGUCUGUCUUAUGAUCACUGUUUCAACAUUAAGGCUGGUCAGCUGUUGUGUCUAAACUUCUAAGGAAGAGGGUAUAAGGAGGCAUGUCUGACCUCUCAUCUCAUUAUGGCUGGGAACUCAGUGUUUAAGGUUUCUUGAAGGUCCCCUUGGCCAAGAGGGGGCCCAUUCAGUCAGUUGGCGGGGCUUAGGAUUUUUAGUUUACAUUCUGCUCACUGGAGUAGCACUUUUAAUUUCCUUCAGGAAAUUUUCCUUUGAAUUCACAACUUGACUAAAUGUUUGGUGCAAGAAGUCUUGCUUUCAGCCUAUCCUGACUUUUGACACACCUUCCUCACUGAGCUUAAUCAUUUCUAGCUUUUGAUUUAAAGUGAGAGAUGUGCGACUCUUCCUAUCCCUCGAACAUUUAGAGGCGUGGACUGAAAUUCAAUAUUGUUGUGUCUUACAGGCUAGGGAGACCUGAGAAGAGUGAGAGAGAGGGGGGAACAGCCAGUCAGUGGAGCACUUGGAACAUACACAAUACCGAUUAAGUUGGCUGGUUUACCUGAAUGCUGUUUGUGGCACCCCAAAACAAUUACAAUAGUAACAUUAAGGAUCACUGAUCACAGAUCACCUUAAUAGGUGUAAUAAUAAUGAAAAACUUUGGGACCAGGCACGGUGGCUCACGCCUGUAAUCCCAGCACUUUGGGAGGCCAGGGCAAGCAUAUCUCCUGAGGUCAGGAGUUCGAAACCAGCCUGGCCAACACAGUGGAACCCCAUCUCUACUAAAAACGCUAAAAUUAGCCAGGCAUGGUGGCGCGUGCCUGUAAUUCCAGCUAUUUGGGUGGCUGAGGCACGAAAAUCGCUUGAACCCCAGGAGGUGGAGGUUGCAGUGAGCCAAGAUUGCGCCACUGCACUCCAGCCUGCAUGACAGAGUGAGGCAUUAUUGCAAAAAAGAAAAGAAAAAAAAAAGUUUGAAAUAUUACAAGAAUUACCAGGAUGUGGUACAGAGACACGAAGUGAGCACAUGCUGUUGAAAAUGGUGCCAAUAGACUUGCUGUAGUCAGGUAGCCACAAACCUUGAACUUGUAAAAAUGCAGUAUCUUCGAAGCACAAUAAAGUGAAGUGCAAUAAAACAAGAUAUGCCGGGCGGGGCACGGUGGCUCACACCUGUAAUCCCAGAACUUUGGGAGGCCAAGGUGGGUGGAUCACAAGGUCAGGAGUUCAAGAGCAGCCUGGCCAAUAUGGUGAAACCCUGUCUCUACUAAAAAUACAAAAAUUAACUGGGCGUGGUGGCGGGAGCCUGUAGUCCCAGCUACUCGGGAGGCUGAGACAGGAGAAUCACUUGAACCCGGGAGGCGGAGCUUGCAGUGAGCUGAGAUCACGCCACUGCACUCCAGCCUGGGCCACAGAGCGAGCCUCCAUCUCAAAAACAAACAACAACAACAAAAAAACAAGAUAUACCUAUAUACCUCAAUUUUAAGGAAACAAAAAUUCUCAAUUUUAAUUUCUAACAGAGUACAGUUAGAUAUAAACAAAAUCCCUCAAUCCUUUUUAAGCGUACAAAGAGAUCCGGAGAACAAAAACUUUGAGAACUACUGAUCUAAUGCAUUGAUUUCUUUUGUUUUGUUUCUGUAGUUGGGGCUACAGGUAUGCGACACCACCCCCAGCAUGAAUGCAAUUACUCAGUCUGGAGUCGGAGAAAGCGAUUGAAAGGGAGGGAAAAAUCUUGCUGGCUCUAAUGCUUUAUAAACUGUGCUGUCCAAUACGGUAGCUGCUGGCCACUUGGGGCUAUUGAGCACAUGAAAAGUGGGUACUCCAAACUGAGAGGUACUUAGUACCAAAAAACAAAAAAAUAAUGGGCCGGGCGCGGUGGCUCACACCUGUAAUCCCAACACUUUGGGAGCCCGAGGCGGAUGGAUCACGAGGUCAGGAGUUCAAGCAGCCUGACCAACAUGGUGAAACCCCGUCUCUACUAAAAAUACAAAAAAAUUAGCCGGGCGUGGUGGUGUGCACCUGUAAUCCCAGCUACUCAGGAGGCUGAGGCAGGAUAAUCGCUUGAACCUGAGAGGCGAGAUCGUGCCAUUGCACUGCAGCCUGGGCGGCAGAGCAAGACUCCAUCUCAAAAAAAAAAGAAUGUAAAUUAUCUCAUCAAUAAUUUUCACAUAGAAAUGACAUAUUUUGUUUUUCUUUUCUUUGUUUUUCGGUAGCCAUGGGUUCUUGCUAUGUUGCCCAGGUGGCCUUGGACUCUGGGCCUGAAGCCAUCCUCUCACCUGGCCUCCCAAAGUGCUGGGAUUAUAGGCAUAAGCCACUGCACCUGCCCCAAUAUUUUGAACAUAUUGGGUCAAGGAAAAAAUAUGGUUAAAAUUAAUUUUACCUCUUGCUUUUUUUUUUUUUUUUUUUUUUUUUGAUGCUGAAUCUCUCUCUGUUGCCCAGGCUGGAGUGCAGUGGUGUGAUCUCAGCUCACUGCAGCCUCCGCCUCCCAGGUUCUAGC